UACGUAGGGCGCAAGCGUUGUCCGGAAUUAUUGGGCGUAAAGAGCUCGUAGGCGGUCUGUCGCGUCUGCCGUGAAAACCUGAGGCUUAACCUCGGGCUGGCGGUGGAUACGGGCAGACUAGAGGUAGGUAGGGGAGAAUGGAAUUCCCGGUGUAGCGGUGAAAUGCGCAGAUAUCGGGAGGAACACCGGUGGCGAAGGCGGUUCUCUGGGCCUUACCUGACGCUGAGGAGCGAAAGCAUGGGGAGCGAACAGG
rnacentral:rRNA from 1 species